rnacentral:rRNA from 1 species
GGCGAACGGGUGAGUAACACGUGAGCAACCUGCCCAAGACUUUCGGGAUAAGCCUGGGAAACUGGGUCUAAUACUGGAUAUGACCUUUCAUCGCAUGGUGUUUGGUGGAAAGAUUUUUUGGUUUUGGAUGGGCUCGCGGCCUAUCAGCUUGUUGGUGAGGUAAUGGCUUACCAAGGCUUCGACGGGUAACCGGCCUGAGAGGGUGACCGGUCACACUGGGACUGAGACACGGCCCAGACUCCUACGGGAGGCAGCAGUGGGGAAUAUUGCACAAUGGGCGAAAGCCUGAUGCAGCGACGCCGCGUGAGGGAUGACGGCCUUCGGGUUGUAAACCUCUUUCAGUCAGGAACAAGCCACUUGUGGUGAGGGUACUGGCAGAAGAAGCACCGGCUAACUACGUGCCAGCAGCCGCGGUAAUACGUAGGGUGCGAGCGUUAUCCGGAAUUAUUGGGCGUAAAGAGCUUGUAGGCGGUUUGUCGCGUCUGCUGUGAAAGCCCGGGGCUUAACUCCGGGUCUGCAGUGGGUACGGGCAGGCUAGAGUGAUGUAGGGGUAACUGGAAUUCCUGGUGUAGCGGUGGAAUGCGCAGAUAUCAGGAAGAACACCGAUGGCGAAGGCAGGUUACUGGGCAUUUACUGACGCUGAGAAGCGAAAGCAUGGGGAGCGAACAGGAUUAGAUACCCUGGUAGUCCAUGCCGUAAACGUUGGGCACUAGGUGUGGGG